AUCCGUGAGAAUGGACAAAAGGGACUUUUUGCUAGAGAGUGCUGUGCAUGAGAAACGGUAUUAUUUAAAGCCUUCCUGGAGAGCCGGUGUAUGCAUGAACAGACACAUGGCAUUUCAAGCAUUCUCUUACUGACACAUCCUUCCUUCACGUUAACCAUGAUGCAUGAGCUGUCCCAUCUUAGCAUGCCCAACGGGCAAACGUUUUUUUGCAAGACAAGCUCUUCACUGAGUUUCUGCAGGACCCAGAACCACAGGUCCAAGGUGAGUGAGAAGGAAUCUUAGGCAUUACUACGGUAAUAAUUACAAUACUGUCACUCCGUAAAACAAGGCUUCAGUUUGGCCAACUGGAAGGCCAAAUCCCUAAAUUCCAGAUGCUGUGAGAACUUGUUUUUCUUCCACUGUUUUUAUUCUUUCCCUGGUUGCAGGCUUUUAAUCGGUUUGUUUGGGAGAUGGUCCUUGACGAACAAAACACCACAGAACUGGCACAUCUCAACAUCCUUCAGUGACAAGUGCGGGGUGUUCCCCAGCGCAGAGCUCUGGAGCAGAGCUGUCCCUCUGCUUCUCCAUGGCUGUCUCCUCCCACAGCGGCUGCUCCUUAAACAGAAAUCCAGCUGAGGCAGCAAGCUGCUGAAAACAAGAGCCAUAGGCCUCACACCCACGGUAUGCAGGAACGUUGUUCGUGUACUGCCAUCUGCUGUUACAGUACAGCCCAUUUCAUCACUACGCUAUUCUUCUGGGGUUUCCAUUCCAGC